rnacentral:rRNA from 1 species
UACGUAGGCAGCGAGCGUUGUUCGGAGUUACUGGGCGUAAAGCGUGCGUAGGCGGUGUCUUAAGUUUGUUGUGAAAUCUCCCGGCUUAACCGGGAGGGUGCGGCGAAUACUGAGAUGCUGGAGUGCCGGAGAGGUAAGCGGAAUUCCUGGUGUAGCGGUGAAAUGCGUAGAUAUCAGGAGGAACACCUGCGGUGUAGACGGCUUACUGGACGGUAACUGACGCUGAGGCACGAAAGCGUGGGGUAGCAAAACAGG